GACAACUUUUAACGGUGGAUCUCUUGGCUCGUGCAUCGAUGAAGAACGUAGCCAGUUGCGAUAAGUAGUGUGAAUUGCAGAAUUCAGUGAAUCAUCGAAUCUUUGAACGCAAAUUGCGCUCUCUGGACUUCCAG
rnacentral:rRNA from 1 species